ensembl:lncRNA
GGCAUGGGAGCGGAGCAAAACCUUCAAAAAGGCAAAGAUGUUGAUUGGGGAACAGAGAGGAGACCUGGGUCACAGAGCAGGGAUGACAAUACAAAGACAGGAGGGUGUAAGGCUAGGGGUAGGUAGAGGUGGAGUCGUGGCAGCUUCAUGAUAGCUAAGGUUGAGUUGGAGGAGAGGAAGUUGGGGGACUGGGCAGGUUCCAGGAAAGGCAUGAGCCAUGAGAUGGAACGAAGCAAGACUUCUGAGACAGGGCAGACUUGAUGGCCAACCUGCACCUGUUCAGGAUGGCUGCAAAGAAGACUUCGGGGAACAAGGAGUCCUCUGGGAAGGGAGAAGGGAGUUUGAGCAUCAGAGACCAGGGCGCUGUGAAGGGAACGGAUGGGCUGGUUUGGAGAUGUGCAGAAUGGUGGGAGGGAACAGGGUCAGAGUGGGACUUGGGGACCCUGAAGCCAGGGCUCUCUCAUGGUGAUGGGGAGGGCGUGUUAGAGAGAGAGAGAGAGAGAGAGAGAGAGAGAGAGAGAGAGAGAGAGAGAGAAGCUACCAGCUCCUGUCAGGAAGGUUGGGUCAGUGGUUAGCUCAGGUGAUGGUAGAGGGAGCUGGAGGACCCCUCACCCCCAUUGUCCUUGCUCUGGGCUGGGUUCUGAGUUCCUUGCUGUGACACACUUGCCCUUCUAUAGGGUCACCACCUGCACAUUGCUAGCUCUCACGGGACACUGUAACACUCAUUACUCCUCCCUGGCCACCACUACUCAGCGCUCACAGAGAGCAAAACACCAUGAAGAUUGUUCCAGGGCACGGAGCUUGGCCCAACUCCACAGAGGACUCCUCAAGAGUGAGUCAGAGUUCAGCAGGCCCCGAACGUUGGCUCCACCCUUCUUCCAACACAGCUACUGUUCGGUUGUGCUCUGUCAGGUCCUGUGCUGCGGCCAAUUCAGAAGUGACAGAAGCUGAGCUCUUACCUUCUAGGGUCUCCUGAUCUUUAGACUGAAAAAAGAAGGAAGGGAAGGAGGGAGAAGGAGGCGGACCUGUGUCGGAGUCAAUCCCGGGAAUCCAUCUCUCCAGGUCGCCGAGCCUGAAGCCAUCUCCAAACAGGUCUCUCGGACGUCUCAGGCUGUGCAGGGUGAGAUGUUGUGGGAAAGGACACUGAACUCCAGUCAGGAGGCCCAGUCAGGACACUUGGCCAUUCUGUGACUACAGUUGUGUCUUUGAUUUGUUUCCUCUUUUGCAAAAUGGGGGUGAUGGAGCUCCCCCCCCAAGUGGUGCACAGAAGCACCUCAGGGCUCAAGUGAAUGCCAGCUAGGACUGGGAUCAUCUCCAAGGGCUAUUCCAGCAGAGGCUGCCCUCCCUCCUCAGGACCACUCUCUUUUUGUUAUCCCAGAAGUGCAGCCCCAGCUGGAAGGAGGAGACACGGUGCCUCAGGUGGACACCCAUGCAACCAAUUCGUCUUGGGAAAAAGACAUAAAAUCUCAGAAAUGGCAUAGCCCACCUCUUCCCCAGGGCUGCCAGGCAUGAAAAAUCUUAAGCUCUUGGACACGGGGGUAGGAGGAGCAAAAGCGGGGUUCUUGACACUGCUGAGGAAGCCUCCAGGUGUGGCUGCUACUUACUGCCCUCCAAAGGAAAGAGCAGCGAAGAAGCUGGGGGCUGCAGGCAGAUCCCAGUAGAGAACUGAGGACUGGUUGUAUCCCAGAGAGGGGCUGCAUAACCGCUGAUGUCACCAGAGGAACCUGGAGUCAGCUUCUCUCUCUCCUCUCCCCCUCCCUCCUCCCCUCCCUUCCAUUCCCUCCCUGCUCUGUGUGUACUGGCAAGCACAGGCGUGCUUACACAUGCUCCUGGCAUCUGGAAGCCAGAGGUUGACCUUGGGUGUCUUCUUCAAUCACACUUCUACCUUAUUUUUGUCUUUGUUCUUGUUUCUUGAGACAGGGUCUUACUAUGUAGACCAGACUGGCCUUGAACUCAUAGAGGCAGGCCUGCAUCUGCCUUUUAAGUGCUGGGAUGAAGGUGCUGAAAGUGGGGCUGGAGAGAUGGCUCAGCUGUUAAGAGCACUGACUGCUCUCCCAGAGGUCCUGAGUUCAAUUCCCAGCAACCACAUGGUGGCUCACAACCAUCUGUAAUGGGAUCUGAUGCUCUCUUCUGGUGUGUGUCUGAAGACAGCUGCAGUGUACUCAUAUACAUAAAAUAAAUAAAAAAAUAAAUCUUAAAAAAAAAAAAAA